UAUCCAACCACAGAUCCCCAGCACAUUCAGAACACGAAUAAUACGAUUUAUGUUUGCUUUUUUUAUAUAGUCCGUUACUUAGCUGUUUGUAUAACAUCGGCAUAGUUACAAAGUUUGGUCUCAAUUCUGAAGAGAUCGGUAAUCCAGACCUGCCUAAAACGCAUCAAUCUGAAGGAUUUCAUCAUUUUCAACUUUACUUGGACAUUUUGGCGCUUCUGAUUCACAUACUAUGCCCAGUCAUGGAGCCAGUCCGUCUGCCGGCCGACUGCCCUCCUGGAGGCUCGAGAACAUCCGAUCCUCCUGUGGAGAGAGAGAGAGAGUGAGUGAGUGAGACCAAAGUCAUAAUAUGGCAUUCACAGGGCUGAAGAAUGUGUCUGGAGCAGGGCGGCCGCGGCAGCAUGGUGCAGGGAUAAUGUCUAUGUUGCUUUCUGGGAGUCCUGUUUUAAAAGGGAUGAGGUGGGGCCAGGCAGACUGCUGAGUAAGCUGGCCACCACGCGGUCGCCCUAGAACAAACAACAGCAUUUAAAAGAAAGCUUCCCCAGACCCCAAUAUAAACAUCUUGCAUCCCAACAUCAGACAGAGAUCUGACAUUUAAUGUAUUGUGUAAAGACACCAAAGUCAAUUUGGUUUUUCUAAAACGAAAUGUAAUUAAGAUACUUUAUUCUGUCUAGAGAUUUUAGACAUGGUAUUAAAAACCCUUCAUGUCUCGUUCCACUGGAAAAUAAAGUAUGUGAACUAAAGGGAACUUACAAAUUAUCUUUAUUCGCAUAACCUCACAAGCCUGACAUGUUAAAUAUUCCACUGUGGCUUUGUAAGUGUUUUCAUACUCUCUUCACUAGUAUUAUUUAUGAAAGUCGAUUAAACCUUUGUCAUCAAAGUCAAUAGACCUGCUGCUGAUUUACUGAAUGUAAAGAACAGCAUUGACAAACGGGGUGUAAUGGAACUAGAUGUUAAAUUUGGCACAUUUCCUGAAUCAUCAACAAUCAUCUGCAUAGACAUUUAUCUUCUACAUGUACAUAUGCAUGAAAAGCGAUUAUGCGAUGUAUACUAUAUUUACAUAUCAGAUUACUGGCCAUCAUUUUAAGUGUUUAUUAGAGGACUUAGUCCUAUACAUACUCAUGCAUGUAAUGCAUAAACAGUAUUUACGGACUGUGACAUUGAAGCAGCUGUAAAUUAAUACAUUUAUCUGUAAAUAAAUACUUAUAGCCCAUAUGUGUACAUAUCCAUCAUUUUUCCACAUUUCAAUUUUUACAAUAAUCAAUAGUACAUUAACCAGCAAUAAUAUUGUGUAAAAAAACUAAAAGCAU